rnacentral:tRNA from 1 species
GGCUCUGUGGCGCAAUGGACAGCGCAUUGGACUUCUAGCUGAACACUGGAGGAGUUAUUCAAAGGUUGUGGGUUCGAGUCCCACCAGAGUCG